rnacentral:rRNA from 1 species
GAAUCUGCCUGGUAGUGGGGGAUAACGUUCGGAAACGAACGCUAAUACCGCAUACGUCCUACGGGAGAAAGCAGGGGACCUUCGGGCCUUGCGCUAUCAGAUGAGCCUAGGUCGGAUUAGCUAGUUGGUGAGGUAAUGGCUCACCAAGGCGACGAUCCGUAACUGGUCUGAGAGGAUGAUCAGUCACACUGGAACUGAGACACGGUCCAGACUCCUACGGGAGGCAGCAGUGGGGAAUAUUGGACAAUGGGCGAAAGCCUGAUCCAGCCAUGCCGCGUGUGUGAAGAAGGUCUUCGGAUUGUAAAGCACUUUAAGUUGGGAGGAAGGGCAAUUACCUAAUACGUGAUUGUUUUGACGUUACCGACAGAAUAAGCACCGGCUAACUCUGUGCCAGCAGCCGCGGUAAUACAGAGGGUGCAAGCGUUAAUCGGAAUUACUGGGCGUAAAGCG